ACCACUUUAAUAUGAUGGCUAAUAUAAGCAUAAAGAAUAUUUAAAUAUGGGAUCUAUACUGAAAUUACAGCCCAGUUUAAAAUUUUAAAUAUAUAUGAAAAUAUAAUUUAGAUAAUUUUUUAAUUUUGGUUAACUAGGUGCCAGCAACCGCGGUCAUACCUAGUAAAUAAGCUUAUUAUUUAUAGUAAUUAUAAAUCAUUUAUUGAAUAUUAUAAUAUACGGUGAAAUGUUAUUUUAUAUUAACUUUAAGCAUAAAUAUUUAUAAGUAAACCCAACAGAUAAAACUAGGAUUAGAGACCCUACUAUUGUGGAUCUAAAAUUAUAUUACAAAGGAGUAAUACCAAACUUUUAAACUUAAAUAUUAUGGCGGCUAAGCAAAACAUUUAGGGGAACUUACCAUAUAAUUGAUAGCCACCAAGCCUUAAAGCAACUUACUUUAAUAAUUUGUAUACCGUUGUCUUCAUAAGUCUCCUAAAGAGACUUAUAAAUAUUAUAACUAUAAUAAGACAAAUCAAGGUGCAGUCUAUAGGUAAGAAUUGAGGUGAGUUACAAUAUAAACUACAUUCGGAAAUGAACAAUGAAAUAAGUCAAUAAGGCGGACUUAAAAGUACUACUUAAAUUAAUAUAUGUAUUAGGAAUAUGUAUUGCUUAGUGUA
rnacentral:rRNA from 1 species